UACGGGGGGGGCAAGCGUUGUUCGGAAUUACUGGGCGUAAAGGGCGCGUAGGCGGCCUUCUAAGUCGGACGUGAAAUCCCUCGGCUUAACCGAGGAACUGCGUCCGAUACUGAAAGGCUUGAAUCCGGGAGAGGGAUGUGGAAUUCCAGGUGUAGCGGUGAAAUGCGUAGAUAUCUGGAGGAACACCGGUGGCGAAGGCGGCAUCCUGGACCAAUUCUGACGCUGAGGAGCGAAAGCCAGGGGAGCAAACGGG
rnacentral:rRNA from 1 species